AUCUAAGUACCCCGAGGAAAAGAAAUCAACCGAGAUUCCCCCAGUAGCGGCGAGCGAACGGGGAGGAGCCCAGAGCCUGAAUCAGCAUGUGUGUUAGUGGAAGCGUCUGGAAAGGCGCGCGAUACAGGGUGACAGCCCCGUACACAAAAGCGCAUGUGCUGUGAGCUCGAUGAGUAGGGCGGGACACGUGGUAUCCUGUCUGAAUAUGGGGGGACCAUCCUCCAAGGCUAAAUACUCCUGACUGACCGAUAGUGAACCAGUACCGUGAGGGAAAGGCGAAAAGAACCCCGGCGAGGGGAGUGAAAAAGAACCUGAAACCGUGUACGUACAAGCAGUGGGAGCACCCUUCGGGGUGUGACUGCGUACCUUUUGUAUAAUGGGUCAGCGACUUAUAUUCUGUAGCAAGGUUAACCGUAUAGGGGAGCCGGAGGGAAACCGAGUCUUAAUUGGGCGUUAAGUUGCAGGGUAUAGACCCGAAACCCGGUGAUCUAGCCAUGGGCAGGUUGAAGGUUGGGUAACACUAACUGGAGGACCGAACCGACUAAUGUUGAAAAAUUAGCGGAUGACCUGUGGCUGGGGGUGAAAGGCCAAUCAAACCGGGAGAUAGCUGGUUCUCCCCGAAAGCUAUUUAGGUAGCGCCUCGUGAAUUCAUCUCCGGGGGUAGAGCACUGUUUCGGCUAGGGGGCCAUCCCGGCUUACCAACCCGAUGCAAACUGCGAAUACCGGAGAAUGUUAUCACGGGAGACACACGGCGGGUGCUAACGUCCGUCGUGAAGAGGGAAACAACCCAGACCGC
rnacentral:rRNA from 1 species